AAUAUUUAAAAGUGACUUUCAGUUCAGUUCAGUAACCUUUAUUAGGCAUUUUCAAAAGAAGAAAAGACAAAGUGUCAAAACGUAAUACAAGGCUAAGCUUAGCAAAACCUGAGGUAUUUUUCU